rnacentral:rRNA from 1 species
AUGACGGCAAUAGUUCAAUACACAUUUGACAAGAUGAAUGCGUACUUUCUAAAGUACUCGAUGGAAACGGAUGCACAGAUAGCGGGUGAGAACCCGCGCAAGUACAAGUACAAGUUCCCACCCAAGGUUGAUGAAUGGUUAGAAUUUCAAUCACGGAAGGCGGACUCAGAAGAAGCUAUAUUAUAUGACAACGAAGAGUGGAAGUACGAAGUGAAAGAGCCAGGAGGAACCACAAACGAUGGCCGCCAACAUGGAGGUCGGGCUUUCAAGGUGUCAUUAACACAAUGUGAUUGCUCUUGCGGGAGGCCAUUGUUGCUUCAUCUCCCAUGCUCACACUUGUAUACUGCCGGUCGCGUUAGGAAUGUGGACAUCAAUCACCCAUGCACCAUGAGGGAGUCGGAGUUCUCAAUCAUGACGGUCAAGAAAACAUGGGCUCCCCGCUUUCACCCAUAUUUUGACCAAUCACAAUGGUCGGAGUACCAUGGUGUUCAACUAUGGUCGGAUCCA